rnacentral:rRNA from 1 species
UACGUAGGGGGCAAGCGUUGUCCGGAAUCAUUGGGCGUAAAGCGCGCGUAGGCGGCCCGGUAAGUCCGCUGUAAAAGUCAAAGGCUCAACCUUUGAAUGUCAGUGGAUACUGCCGGGCUAGAGUCCGGAAGAGGCGAGUGGAACUCCUGGUGUAGCGGUGGAAUGCGCAGAUAUCAGGAAGAACACCGACGGCGAAGGCAGCUCGCUGGGACGGUACUGACGCUGAGGCACGAAAGCGUGGGGAUCAAACAGG